rnacentral:rRNA from 1 species
AUUGAACGCUGGCGGAAUGCUUUACACAUGCAAGUCGAACGGCAGCACGGGGCAACCUGGUGGCGAGUGGCGAACGGUGAGUAAUACAUCGGAACGUGCCCAAUCGUGGGGGAUAACGUAGCGAAAGUUACGCUAAUACCGCAUACGAUCUACGGAUGAAAGCGGGGGAUCGCAAGACCUCGCGCGAGUGGAGCGGCCGAUGUCAGAUUAGGUAGUUGGUGGGGUAAAGGCUCACCAAGCCAACGAUCUGUAGCUGGUCUGAGAGGACGACCAGCCACACUGGAACUGAGACACGGUCCGGACUCCUACGGGAGGCAGCAGUGGGGAAUUUUGGACAAUGGGCGCAAGCCUGAUCCAGCCAUUCCGCGUGCCAGGAUGAAGGCC